AGUGAACGCUGGCGGUAGGCCUAACACAUGCAAGUCGAACGGCAGCACAGUAAGAGCUUGCUCUUACGGGUGGCGAGUGGCGGACGGGUGAGGAAUACAUCAGAAUCUACUUUUUCGUGGGGGAUAACGUAGGGAAACUUACGCUAAUACCGCAUACGACCUACGGGUGAAAGCAGGGGAUCUUCGGACCUUGCGCGAUUGAAUGAGCCGAUGUCGGAUUAGCUAGUUGGCGGGGUAAAGGCCCACCAAGGCGACGAUCCGUAGCUGGUCUGAGAGGAUGAUCAGCCACACUGGAACUGAGACACGGUCCAGACUCCUACGGGAGGCAGCAGUGGGGAAUAUUGGACAAUGGGCACAAGCCUGAUCCAGCCAUACCGCGUGGGUGAAGAAGGCCUUCGGGUUGUAAAGCCCUUUUGUUGGGAAAGAAAAGCAGCAGGUUAAUACCCCGCUGUUCUGACGGUACCCAAAGAAUAAGCACCGGCUAACUUCGUG
rnacentral:rRNA from 1 species